rnacentral:lncRNA from 1 species
UAUACUGGUGCCUUUCUCUAGCAUGGAGACCUGGAGGAAUUAAUUUUAAGUGGAUUUGGUAGACGACAGGAGAAAUCUGUGUGGCCCUUUCUAAUCCAAUUCCCCACAAGACAGCAAACUCAAACCACCUGGGGACUCAACUGCCAGUUUCAGGGCCAUUUGCUACUAUUUGCCUGUGGGGGUAGAUCCCGUGGCAAGGGCUCAAGUUGUUGUUCUGACCUACAGUUGGCAAUGGUCCUUCCCCAGUGGAACUUGGAUUGUGUUGACGAGUUGCCAUGCACUAGGACUAUUUCUCCAAGGAUGAGUCCGUAUUUUGAGAGAACAGGUUUCCCAUCUCAAUUUUUGUCGAAGUAUCCUGGCAGCAGUGGAUUAUAAGGUAGGUGGAAAUGGCAAAGUAUGCCACUUUUAUUAUUAUUAUUAUUAUAGUUGCUUUACAAUGUUGUGCAAUUUUCUGCUGUCCUGCAAAGUAAAUUAGCUAUAUAUAUACAUAUAUCACUUCCCUCUUGAAUCUCCCUCCUAUGCCCACCUCCAAC